rnacentral:lncRNA from 1 species
CUUUCUGAAUUUUGAGUCACCUUAAGGAAUACCCAGUUUUAAAAUAAAAGUUAAAGAGUGAUUUUUCUCUGCUAUUAUAUUUUUUUAAAUUUAGUUGCUUCUGAAUUUGACUGGAUUUAUAUGCCUAUGAGCAGAUUUCCCAUUUUCUACCAAUUGGCUUGCCAUUUCCCAAGCAAAUUUAACAAAUUAGUCAUGGAAAUAUUUCCCCAAGCCUUACUUCAGUUUUUUAAAAACACAUGUGUUUUAAUUUCCACCAAAUAUUAGCAAGCUAACUUUACAAUAGGAACUAGGAUACAAAUAAAAAUGACAAGCUUGUUUUUAUAUAUUAACUAUAGGAAAUUCUCCAGCAAAAGGAAAAUUAUGAAUAAUAUUUUUAAUUUAAAAAUAAGUCAACUCUAACAGUUCAUUCAUUUAAUGAAUACUUACUGAGUUCCUUCUGUGUGGCAGGCACUGAUCUGGGUUUGGGGGAUACAGCAAUGAACAGAAAAGAAAAAUUAUGGUGCUUGCAUUCAAGUGUAAUAUUCCACUGAUGGGUGGUUAGCAGUAUACUAGAGAUUCUAAAAUGGUAAACAGAUCCCAUGUCUUACAUUUCUCCUUUUAUCAUUUUUCAUUUAUUUCCACUAUAUGCUCUAACCUCCUCUAAUUUUUUUCUUAAUUCAGCUAUCUAGAAAAAAUCCACUAGGUGGCACUGUCUCAUUGAUCAGAAUAAAAAAGUAACACGGUUAUUUCCAAUGUUUUUUUUUUUUUUUUUGUCUCCCUUGGUUUUGUUUUUAACUUGCUUUUUUGUGUGUGACCAAAACACAACUUAAAAUAUACCAUUUUGGGGAAAACCAAAAAUAUACAAAAAGAUGAGAUAUUAGUUUGAGUUUGCUGAACAUACCACCGUCUAACUUGACAAGCCAAGUUAAGGUAUAACCCAUCACUCAAACACACCACAACACACAUGGGGGUGGAUAGAAUAUACACUGCAAGUGAAUAGGACUCCUGAAAAGAAACAAUACAGAAUGAUGGAACAGAAGUCGGGAGAAGGUGUCGAGAGAGAUGCAUUGAAGUCCUAGCUUUAGCUCACCUUUAACCCACAUUUAGAUGAGCAGCCAGGGACAAGUCACCUAAUCACCAUGACCUUUAAGCUUCUCAUUUUAAAAAUACAUAUUUGUAGUAAUAUAGCAUUACUCAUCUAAAAGGGUCUUAUAAAAAUCAAAUAACUUAAAGUCCGUGAAAGUGUUAUUUUGAACACAUUAAGCUAUGUGGUUCUGAUAUUUUGCCUAGAAGAAAAUAUAUGAUUUUUGGAGUCAUGGACAUAAUAAACAGGAUUUUCAAUUAUUGCUUAGUAUGUACCAUGAACUGUCCCAAGUGCUUUAAAAUAGUGCUUCAGUUAAUAUUCCAAAUUUAACACCAUGAGGUACAUACUAUCAUUACCCUCAUUUAUAGCUGAGGAAACAAAGAUUUAGAAUAACUUGCCAGAGGCCAUUCAGCUAUUAAAUGGCAGAGCUUAUCUCUUCUCAAGGACCCCUCAUUUCUAUAAUCCAUCCACUAAAGGAGCUGUUUGAAAACAUCAUAACCAACAGAACACUUAGGGAAUGCUAGGCCUAAAGAAUAGGAAUUCUUUCCAGAAUAUGACAGAGUAAUGACAAUAACUGCUUCAUACAAGGAAAUCAAGCUUCUCAGACCUAAAGAUGCCCAAAUCGAGAGAGAUAAGAACUGUGAUCGCACAAAUAAAGUCUGCACUCACAUAUCUCGGGUAUUUUUAAAGCUACUCCAAUUCAGAGCUUGCCAUUCAAAAGGUAAAUAAUGAAAGGUAAGAUUUUCAAUAUCUACCACUAUGUCAUCUAAUCCUUUAAAUGCUUGUAAACUCUUUGAAAACAAGUUCGGAUCUGUUUGUUGGUAAUAAAAGAAAAAACUGUUGGAGUAGAAAUAAACUUUAUCAGCAGCAUAAUUUGGAACAUGAUCUCCGCAGCAUACAGACUGUUUUGGAGAAUUCUGGCUCCCGCAUUGCCAAUUAAAAGAUCUGGGGAAAGUUAGGGGUUUCUGUUGUGGCUCAGUGAAAAUGAAUCCAACUUGGAACUAUGAGGUUGCAGGUUCAAUUCCUGGCCUCGCUCAGUAGGUUAAGGAUCCGGCAUUGCUGUGGUUGUGGCACAGGUCGGCAGCUGUAGCUCCAAUUAGACCUCUAGACUGGGAACACCCCCCAAAAAGCUAGAAAAGUUGCAAGAAUAAAAUGAGUUAAUACAUUACAAUGCCUCGAGGAGUUCCCGUUGUGGCUCAGUGGGCUAAGAACCUGACUAGUAUCCAUAAGGAUACAGAUUCGAUCCCUGGUCUCCCUCAGUGGCUUGAGGAUCUGGCAUUGCCACAAGCAGCAAGCUGCAGUGUAGGAGAUGUGGCUCGGAUCUGCCACUGCUGUGGCUAUGCUGUAGGCCAGUAAGUGCAGCUCUGAUUCAACCCCUAGCCCAGGAACUUCCAUAUGCCAUGGUGCAGCCCUAGAAAACAAAAAAGAAAAAAAAAAUGCCCAGAACAGGACCUAGCACAUAGUGAGAGCUCAAUAAAUAGUAAUGUUUUUCUUCUUAUUCAUGCUUCUCAAAUCACAUGAGCUAUUUA